UAACGAAUCUUCCGCAAUGCACGAAAGUGUGACGGAGCGACGCCGCGUGUAGGACGAAGCCCUUCGGGGUGUAAACUACUGUCAGGGGUUACCAAGUUCUGAGGAGCCCCAGAGGAAGGCACGGCUAACUCUGUGCCAGCAGCCGCGGUAAGACAGAGGUGCCAAGCGUUAGGCGGAAUCACUGGGCUUAAAGCGUGUGUAGGCGGGUUCCUAAGUACCUUGUGAAAUCCCCCGGCUCAACCGGGGAACGGCUUGGUAUACUGGGUGCCUUGAGCCAGCUAGGGGCGACCGGAACAAGUGGUGGAGCGGUGAAAUGCGUAGAUAUCACUUGGAACGCCAACGGUGAAAACAGGUCGCUGGGGCUGUGCUGACGCUGAGACACGAAAGCCAGGGGAGCGAACGGGAUUAGAUACCCCCGUAGUCC
rnacentral:rRNA from 1 species